rnacentral:rRNA from 1 species
AAGAGCGGCCGAUAUCUGAUUAGCUAGUUGGUGGGGUAAUGGCCUACCAAGGCGACGAUCAGUAGCUGGUCUGAGAGGACGACCAGCCACACUGGAACUGAGACACGGUCCAGACUCCUACGGGAGGCAGCAGUGGGGAAUUUUGGACAAUGGGCGCAAGCCUGAUCCAGCCAUUCCGCGUGAGUGAAGAAGGCCUUCGGGUUGUAAAGCUCUUUCGCAAGGGAAGAAAACUUACUUUCUAAUAAAGAGUGAGGCUGACGGUACCUUGAUAAGAAGCACCGGCUAACUACGUGCCAGCAGCCGCGGUAAUACGUAGGGUGCGAGCGUUAAUCGGAAUUACUGGGCGUAAAGCGUGCGCAGGCGGUUUGGCAAGUCAGAUGUGAAAUCCCCGAGCUCAACUUGGGAACUGCGUUUGAAACUGCCAGACUAGAAUAUGUCAGAGGGGGGUAGAAUUCCACGUGUAGCAGUGAAAUGCGUAGAGAUGUGGAGGAAUACCAAUGGCGAAGGCAGCCCCCUGGGAUAAUAUUGACGCUCAUGCACGAAAGCGUGGGGAGCAAACAGGAUUAGAUACCCUGGUAGUCCACGCCCUAAACGAGCUUUUUUAAUUGGUGGUGGAGUAAAAUACCACGAGUAACGCCAGCUAACGCGCGAAGUAGACCGCCUGGGGAGUACGGUCGCACGAUUAAAACUCAAAGGAAAUGACGGGGGCCCGCACCAGCGGUGGAUUAUGUGGAUUAAUUCGAUGCAACGCGAAAAACCUUACCUGGCCUUGACAUGCCACUAACGAAGCAGAGAUGCAUUAGGUGCCCGAAAGGGAAAGUGGACACAGGUGCUGCAUGGCUGUCGUCAGCUCGUGUCGUGAGAUGUUGGGUUAAGUCCCGCAACGAGCGCAACCCUCGCCAUUAAUUGCCAUCAUUUAGUUGGGCACUUUAAUGGGACUGCCGGUGACAAACCGGAGGAAGGUGGGGAGGACGUCAAGUCCUCAUGGCCCCUAUGGCCAGGGCUUCACACGUAAUACAAUGGUCGGUACAGAGAGUUGCCAAGCCGCGAGGUGGAGCUAAUCUCAGAAAGCCGAUCGUAGUCCGGAUUGUUCUCUGCAACUCGAGAGCAUGAAGUCGGAAUCGCUAGUAAUCGCGGAUCAGCAUGUCGCGGUGAAAAAAUUCCCGGGCCGUGCCCUCCCCGCCCGUCA